rnacentral:rRNA from 1 species
GUAGGUGGCAAGCGUUGUCCGGAAUUAUUGGGCGUAAAGCGCGCGCAGGCGGUUCUUUAAGUCUGAUGUGAAAGCCCACGGCUCAACCGUGGAGGGUCAUUGGAAACUGGAGAACUUGAGUACAGAAGAGGAAAGCGGAAUUCCACGUGUAGCGGUGAAAUGCGUAGAGAUGUGGAGGAACACCAGUGGCGAAGGCGGCUUUCUGGUCUGUAACUGACGCUGAGGCGCGAAAGCGUGGGGAGCAAACAGGAUUAGAUACCCUGGUAGUCCACGCCGUAAACGAUGAGUGCUAAGUGUUAGGGGGUUUCCGCCCCUUAGUGCUGCAGCUAACGCAUUAAGCACUCCGCCUGGGAGUACGGCCGCAAGGCUG